rnacentral:rRNA from 1 species
UACGUAGGGCGCAAGCGUUAUCCGGAAUUAUUGGGCGUAAAGAGCUCGUAGGCGGUUUGUCGCGUCUGCUGUGAAAGACCGGGGCUCAACUCCGGUUCUGCAGUGGGUACGGGCAGACUAGAGUGAUGUAGGGGAGACUGGAAUUCCUGGUGUAGCGGUGAAAUGCGCAGAUAUCAGGAGGAACACCGAUGGCGAAGGCGGUUCUCUGGGCAUUACCUGACGCUGAGGAGCGAAAGUGUGGGGAGCGAACAGG